CCUCCUGAGCAACCUACGAGCCUGAAGAGCUGAUAUCAGACCUCUAGGUGUACCCCUCCUGUCUCCUCUGAAGACAACCUCAGACCCAUCUUGACCUCUGAACUUGACUACCUUGUCCCUGCAGUCCAAGGUAGCACCAUGGGUAGAUAACCAAUCCAUCCCUAGAAUGACGUCAAAAUCUGUCAAAUCUAGAACCACUAGAUCGGCGGACAAGCA
rnacentral:lncRNA from 1 species